CUUGGUGUGAUGACAGCUUUAGCUUGAGACUUUACUGAUAUUUGAUGUAUUCAUACUCUCUGACCUAA